GAUGAACGCUGGCGGCGUGCCUAAUACAUGCAAGUCGAGCGAACAGACGAGGCGCUUGCUCCUUUGACGUUAGCGGCGGACGGGUGAGUCACACGUGGGUAACCUACCUAUAAGACUGGGAUCACUUCGGGACACCGGAGCUAAUACCGUAUAAUAUUUCGCACCGCAUGGUUCGAUAGUGAAAGAUGGCUCUGCUGUCACUUAUAGAUGGACCUGCGCCGUAUUAGCUAGUUGGUAAGGUAACGGCUUACCACGGCAACGAUACGUAGCCGACCUGAGAGGGUGAUCGGCCACACUGGAACUGAGACGCGGUCCAGACUCCUACGGGAGGCAGCAGAAGGGAAUCUUCCGCAAUGGGCGAAAGCCUGACGGAGCAACGCCGCGUGAGUGAUGAAGGUCUUCGGAUCGUAAAACUCUGUUACUAGGGAAGAACAAACGUGUAAGUAACUGUGCACGUCGUGACGGUACCUAAUCAGAAAGCCACGGCUAACUACGUG
rnacentral:rRNA from 1 species